CGUUAGUGUAAUGGUUAUCAUUUCAGCCUUCCAAGCUGAAGAUCCGGGUUCGAUUCCCGG
rnacentral:tRNA from 1 species